rnacentral:rRNA from 1 species
UACAGAGGUCUCAAGCGUUGUUCGGAUUCAUUGGGCGUAAAGGGUGCGUAGGUGGCGCCGUAAGUCGGGUGUGAAAUUUCGGAGCUUAACUCCGAAACUGCAUUCGAUACUGCCGUGCUUGAGGACUGGAGAGGAGACUGGAAUUUACGGUGUAGCGGUGAAAUGCGUAGAUAUCGUAAGGAAGACCAGUGGCGAAGGCGGGUCUCUGGACAGUUCCUGACACUGAGACACGAAGGCCAGGGGAGCAAACGGG